rnacentral:rRNA from 1 species
UACGUAGGGUGCAAGCGUUGUCCGGAAUUAUUGGGCGUAAAGAGCUUGUAGGCGGUUUGUCGCGUCUGCUGUGAAAUUUCGGGGCGCAACCCCGAACUUGCAGUGGGUACGGGCAGACUAGAGUGUGGUAGGGGAGACUGGAAUUCCUGGUGUAGCGGUGAAAUGCGCAGAUAUCAGGAGGAACACCGAUGGCGAAGGCAGGUCUCUGGGCCACUACUGACGCUGAGAAGCGAAAGCAUGGGGAGCGAACAGG